rnacentral:rRNA from 1 species
CCUACGGGAGGCAGCAGUGAGGAAUAUUGGACAAUGGGCGCAAGCCUGAUCCAGCCAUGCCGCGUGCAGGAUGACGGUCCUAUGGAUUGUAAACUGCUUUUAUACAGGAAGAAACACCCCGACGUGUCGGGACUUGACGGUACUGUAAGAAUAAGGAUCGGCUAACUCCGUGCCAGCAGCCGCGGUAAUACGGAGGAUCCAAGCGUUAUCCGGAAUCAUUGGGUUUAAAGGGUCCGUAGGCGGUUAGAUAAGUCAGUGGUGAAAGCCCAUCGCUCAACGGUGGAACGGCCAUUGAUACUGUUUAACUUGAAUUAUUAGGAAGUAACUAGAAUAUGUAGUGUAGCGGUGAAAUGCUUAGAGAUUACAUGGAAUACCAAUUGCGAAGGCAGGUUACUACUAAUGGAUUGACGCUGAUGGACGAAAGCGUGGGUAGCGAACAGGAUUAGAUACCCUGGUAGUCCACGCCGUAAACGAUGGAUACUAGCUGUUGGAAGACAUUACUAGUGUCGUAGAGAAGUAGAUAAGUAUACCACCGUCGGGUAGGUACGUUACGUCGAAGAAGUAGAAACGUUAAAAGGUAAAGUUAGUACGGCGUGAGACGUAGCCGACGGACGACGACGAGGGAGGAGG